rnacentral:rRNA from 2 species
CAUGCAUGUCUAAGUAUAAGCAAUUAUACCGUGAAACUGCGAAUGGCUCAUUAAAUCAGUUAUCGUUUAUUUGAUAGUACCUUACUACUUGGAUAACCGUGGUAAUUCUAGAGCUAAUACAUGCUGAAAACCCUGACUUCGGAAAGGGUGUAUUUAUUAGAUAAAAAACCAAUGCCCUUUGGGCUCUUUGGUGAUUCAUGAUAACUUAACGGAUCGCAUGGCCUUGCGCCGGCGACGGUUCAUUCAAAUUUCUGCCCUAUCAACUUUCGAUGGUAAGGUAUUGGCUUACCAUGGUUUCAACGGGUAACGGGGAAUUAGGGUUCGAUUCCGGAGAGGGAGCCUGAGAAACGGCUACCACAUCCAAGGAAGGCAGCAGGCGCGCAAAUUACCCAAUCCCGACACGGGGAGGUAGUGACAAUAAAUACUGAUACAGGGCUCUUUUGGGUCUUGUAAUCGGAAUGAGUACAAUUUAAAUACCUUAACGAGGAACAAUUGGAGGGCAAGUCUGGUGCCAGCAGCCGCGGUAAUUCCAGCUCCAAUAGCGUAUAUUAAAGUUGUUGCAGUUAAAAAGCUCGUAGUUGAACCUUGGGCCUGGCUGGCCGGUCCGCCUCACCGCGUGUACUGGUCUGGCCGGGCCUUUCCUUCUGGAGAACCUCAUGCCCUUCAGUGGGUGUGUUGGGGAACCAGGACUUUUACUUUGAAAAAAUUAGAGUGUUCAAAGCAGGCCUUUGCUCGAAUACGUUAGCAUGGAAUAAUAGAAUAGGACGUGCGGUCCUAUUUUGUUGGUUUCUAGGACCGCCGUAAUGAUUAAUAGGGAUAGUCGGGGGCAUCAGUAUUCAAUUGUCAGAGGUGAAAUUCUUGGAUUUAUUGAAGACUAACUACUGCGAAAGCAUUUGCCAAGGAUGUUUUCAUUAAUCAGUGAACGAAAGUUAGGGGAUCGAAGACGAUCAGAUACCGUCGUAGUCUUAACCGUAAACUAUGCCGACUAGGGAUCGGGCGAUGUUUCUAUCUUGACUCGCUCGGCACCUUACGAGAAAUCAAAGUUUUUGGGUUCUGGGGGGAG